UGCGCAUGCGCUUGUGGGCCGGCGUUAGGCUGGAGGAAGCGGAACUGGCCUUGGGCGCCUGAUCUAACUUCUGGAUCUGUUGGAGCAUUAGGGUUUGAGCUGCUCUAGAAGCAACUGAGAUCGUGAUCUCCCAGCCUCGGUUUCCCGGUUUCUGAUUCUCAGCCGGUGUUCAGAGGCGGCUUUGAGGAUUUAAAGAACCCGGAGCAGGGCGGGCCCCACAACAGCUGGAGGAGGGUCUUGCUAAAUUGCCCAGGCUUGCCUUGAACUUGGAACCCUCCUGCCUCAGCCUUGCAAGUGUUGGGAUUACAGGUGUGUACCACCACCUUCGGCUUCUUAACCUCAGCAUUACUGACCUGGAGGGCAUGAACGUUUUUGUAGGGGGACAGUCUUGAGCGCUGUAAGGGGAUGCCUAGCUUAUCUGAUCUCCAGGAUGAUUCACUGCCACCUCAAGCUAUCACACCCCAAAGUCUCUCCACAACACCAGACAUCACCUGGCGACAAGAUGGCCCCAGUUCUGAACAGACCUAGAGCCAAAAAUCAAAAGACAGGUACCUCUGUUAGUUUUCACUAAAUAAGUUUCAAAUUCUUUAACCAUUGUCAUCUGCUAAAAAUGUGUGUAUGAUGUCAUCCUCCACAUAGCCAGUUUGUUAUCUGACAGUACCAAACGGAAAAUGCCAGAGAUAAUUUGUAAGUUACAAAUAAUUUUUAUUUGGUAUAUUACUAUAAUUCUAUUUUAUUAUCUACUGUAAAUCUUACUGUGCCUAAUUCAUCAGUUAAAUAUUAUGUAUGUGUGGGACCAAAUAAAGAGUAUAUGUUAACUAACCCCUAGUACUGAGGUUUUAAAUGGCCCACCAAAUGGUACUGCAUAAUCCUAGCACUUGGGAGGCUGAUGCAGGAGGAUCACUGUAAAUUUGAGGUCAUCCUAGACGACGUAGUGAG